AUGUGGCGCUCUAAGGUCCCCGAGGAACUCUCAAGCUGCACUCACGUGAACGAAGGCAACAUCUACAUUGGAAAGACUACCCCACCUAUUGUGAUUAAGCUGUUCCAAGAACAAUUCAAAACGGACUUUGAGUUGUUCCUUGCACUGCGCUCCAGAGAGCUUGUCAACGGAGGCCGAAUGUUGCUAACAUUUAUUGGAAGAAAGAGUGAAGAGAUGAUGAUGCAUGGGGACGUUAGCACCUUAUUUGAAUUGGUUGCCAAAUCUCUCCAGUCUCUGGUCCUAAAGGUACAUACGUACAUGUUGGUUACAUCAAUGAUUUGUUUUGUUAGCCAGUAA
rnacentral:rRNA from 1 species